rnacentral:lncRNA from 13 species
CCCAGGGCUUGUCUUUACCUUCCUCCCUCACUGCACAGAGGAGGGGGCACCCCACCUAGGGACAGGGAUCCACAGUCAGCUCUGCUCCAUGCACCCUCCCUCCUCACUAUGCUGAUUCUGACCCACAGUCCCUCCCCUCUGUCCAAUUUAGGGUCUGUGGCCCAGGUAGAACCAACUCUGCCACCCUCAGCGUCUGAAGGUUCAAUGUCACAGCUGUCUGCACCGAGGACAGCAGCAACACUGGCAACGUUGACAGCUGGGGCCAACACGACACAUUCUUCACAUGUACACGCUGUGAGCAUUUUCUGUCACUCUGCGCUUUGUAAGUCAUAUUAUUAAAGGGGACUUUUGCUAUGCCAGAUAGUUUCAAUAUUUAUGUAGACCAAGGUUUCUUCUCAAGAUCAGUGUUUUUGUGUCCUAAAACUAUACAUAUAUGCAUAUGUGUAUAUAUAUAUAUAUAUAUACACACACACACAAACAAUAUACUUAACUGCAUACAUGUGUAUGUGCAUGUAUAUAUAACUGUGCAUGUAUAUACAUUCACACAUAUGUAUAUAGUUGUAUAUAUACACAUACACACAUAUAUGUUCAUAUAAAAAACAUUUGAAUAAUAUCUCAAAGUUCUGUUAAAAACAUGAAUGGCUUAAUAUUCUAGUGCUAAAUAAGGAUGGCUUUAUUUAAAAGUUUCCAUUAGAUUCCAGUAGAGUGGGGAGAGUCGCUCCUUUAAAUGGAAGCCUCUGGAACCUGGAGAAAGCAAUGGUGAAGUGGGCAACCUUCCUGCAGAGGUACCAGAGGCAUGCAUAAAGCCGCAGCAGUGGAUGAUGCCCCAGGCAUGGAUAAUGCCCCAGGUGUAAAUGAUGCCCACCUGUGGAUGAUGCCUCAGGUGUGGAUGAUGUUCCAGGCAUGGAUGAUGCCACAGCAGUGGAUGACGCCCUAGGCGUGGAUGAUGUCCCAGCAGUGGAUGAUGCACCAGCAGUGGAUGAUGUCCCAGGUGUCGAUGAUUCCCCAGCAGUGGAUGAUGCUCCAGGUGUGGAUGAUGCCACAGGCGUGGAUGUCCCAGUAGUGGAUGAUGUCCCAGGCGUGGAUGAUGUCCCAGCAGUGGAUGAUGUCCCAGCAGUGGAUGAUGUUCUAGCAGUGGAUGAUGCCCCAGGCAUGGAUGAUGCCACAGCAGUGGAUGAUGUCCCAGCAGUUGAUGAUGCCCCAGGUGUGGAUGAUGCCCCAGGCGUGGAUGAUGUCACAGCAGUGGAUGAUGCCCCAGGCGUGGAUGAUUCCCCAGGUGUGGAUGAUGUCCCAGCAUUGGAUGAUGCCCCAGCAGUGGAUGAUGCCCAUCUGUGAAUGUCCCUGAUGUCUCAGCCGUGGAUGAUGAUUCAGCUGUGGAUGAUGCCCCAGCCAUGGAUGAAAGCCAACAGUUGUUUUCAAGAAAAGUCUAGUACACAAGUCAUUAGUGAUAUUUAUCAAGGAAAAGGGGAAAUCACAAAAUUAAUAUCAGAAAUUAAGAGGAAGACAUAACCACAGAGAGAGCAGAGAUUACAAAACAAUGAGUGGACAUUAUGAAUACAUAACUUGUUUUAAAGCAACGUUUUGUUUCACUUUGGCUGGUGUCCAUAUGUUGCAGUAGCCAGCCAAUAGUGGGAGUCUCCUCAUGGAGGAGGCUUGGGUUGAGGCUGAGGGCCUUUAACCUGAAUGCACAAGAGAGUUGCCAUGAGGGGAUGGAAACCAGGCUACAAACCAAGUGCUGCACAGAGUUCCUACCUGUCCCUCUCCUCACCAUUUUCAGCUGGCCGGGUUUGAGCAUUUUAGGGCUUGGGAAGAUAUUACUACAUCUACUAAAAAUCAUCACGGAUCCUUAUGUGCUUUGGCCAGCUGCUGAGCAAAUUAACUUCACACCUGAAGUGGGCCGCACUGGCCUGUGCGGUCCCCCACUCCUCUUAGAACUUGUGAGCUUGGGGCCUGCUGGAGGGUAAACGGUGGGAGGAGGGGGAAGAUCAGGAAAAUAACUUAUAUUAGGCUGAAUACGUGGAUGAUGAAAUCACCUGCACAACAAACGCUUCUUGACGCACGUUUACGCAUGUACCAAACCUGCUCAUCCCGCACAGGUUCCCCUGAACUUAAAAAUUAAACAAAAAAGAACCUGUGAGUCGACCCAAACAAACAUCUUUGUGCUUUUCACACUGAUGACUACGCCGGUCUGUGGGGAGAUGUACCUGUAACUUCCCUGGGUUGUGUGACCAUGGAGGCCACUUUAUAAUGAUGGGCAGUGUCUGGGAAUUCCUUAGGGCUUAAACACGAAUGCUGGACUCCCUGCAUGGUGGCAAACACCCCAUGACUGAGAGCAUGCCAGUAGUUGCCAGUGUCAGCACUGGCCUAGACUCCUGGGUUUGUGUUUUCACUUUUCAUUCAGGAACUCAGGAGCUGGGGCCAACCCCUGGCCCUUCAGGUUCUCCACCUGAGCUGUGAGGAUAAUAAACCAGACCCAGGGAUGGCUCUGGUGAGGGUG